AGUGGUUAAGUGGCACAUGCCUGUAGUCCAUCUACUCCAGGGGCUGAGGCAGGAUGAUUGCUUAAGUCCAGGAGUUCUGGGCUGUAGUGUGCUAUGCCAAUAGGGUGUCUGCACUAAGUUCAGCAUCAGUAGUAGGUGACCUUUUUGAGAGCAGGGGACCGCUAGGUUUUCUAAGGAGGGGUGAACCAGCCCAGGUCAGAAAUGGAGCAGGUCAAAUAUCCCAUGCUUAUCAGUGGUAGGAUAAGCACUCCAGCCUGGGCAACAUAGUGAGACCCCAUCUCUUUAAAAAAAAAAAACAAAAACCU
rnacentral:SRP_RNA from 10 species